ACGAACGCUGGCGGCGUGCCUCAUACAUGCAAGUCGCGCGAAGUUUUUCUGGUGCUUGCACUAGAAAAACUUAGCGGCGAACGGGUGAGUAACACGUAAAGAACCUGCCUCAUAGACUGGGACAACUAUUGGAAACGAUAGCUAAUACCGGAUAACAGUAUUUCUCGCACGAGAGAUAUUUAAAAGUUGGUUAUGCUAACACUAUGAGAUGGCUUUGCGGUGCAUUAGCUAGUUGGUGGGGUAAAGGCCCACCAAGGCGACGAUGCAUAGCCGACCUGAGAGGGUGAUCGGCCACACUGGGACUGAGACACGGCCCAGACUCCUACGGGAGGCAGCAGUAGGGAAUCUUCCGCAAUGGGCGAAAGCCUGACGGAGCAACGCCGCGUGAGUGAAGAAGGAUUUCGGUUCGUAAAGCUCUGUUGUUAGGGAAGAAUGGAUAUGUAGUAACUAUACAUGUAAGAGACGGCACCUAACCAGAAAGCCACGGCUAACUACGUG
rnacentral:rRNA from 1 species